UACGAAGGGGGCUAGCGUUGUUCGGAAUUACUGGGCGUAAAGCGCACGUAGGCGGACUAUUAAGUCAGGGGUGAAAUCCCGGGGCUCAACCCCGGAACUGCCUUUGAUACUGGUAGUCUCGAGUCCGGAAGAGGUGAGUGGAAUUCCUAGUGUAGAGGUGAAAUUCGUAGAUAUCAGGAGGAACACCAGUGGCGAAGGCGGCUCACUGGUCCGGUUCUGACGCUGAGGCGCGAAAGCGUGGGGAGCAAACAGG
rnacentral:rRNA from 1 species